rnacentral:rRNA from 1 species
CCUACGGGUGGCAGCAGUGAGGAAUAUUGGUCAAUGGACGAGAGUCUGAACCAGCCAAGUAGCGUGAAGGAUGACUGCCCUAUGGGUUGUAAACUUCUUUUAUAUGGGAAUAAAACGUUCCACGUGUGGGAUUUUGUAUGUACCAUAUGAAUAAGGAUCGGCUAACUACGUGCCAGCAGCCGCGGUAAUACGGAGGAUACGAGCGUUAUCCGGAUUUAUUGGGUUUAAAGGGAGCGUAGGUGGAUUGUUAAGUCAGUUGUGAAAGUUUGCGGCUCAACCGUAAAAUUGCAGUUGAAACUGGCAGUCUUGAGUACAGUAGAGGUGGGCGGAAGUCGUGGUGUAGCGGUGAAAUGCUUAGAGAUCACGAAGAACUCCGAUUGCGAAGGCAGCUUACUAAACUGCCACUGACAUUGAUGCUCGAAAGUGUGGGUAUCAAACAGGAUUAGAUACCCCGGUAGUC